rnacentral:rRNA from 1 species
UGGGGAAUAUUGCACAAUGGGCGCAAGCCUGAUGCAGCCAUGCCGCGUGUGUGAAGAAGGCCUUCGGGUUGUAAAGCACUUUCAGCGGGGAGGAAGGCGUUAAGGUUAAUAACCUUGGCGAUUGACGUUACCCGCAGAAGAAGCACCGGCUAACUCCGUGCCAGCAGCCGCGGUAAUACGGAGGGUGCAAGCGUUAAUCGGAAUUACUGGGCGUAAAGCGCACGCAGGCGGUCUGUCAAGUCGGAUGUGAAAUCCCCGGGCUCAACAUGGGAACUGCAUUCGAAACUGGCAGGCUAGAGUCUUGUAGAGGGGGGUAGAAUUCCAGGUGUAGCGGUGAAAUGCGUAGAGAUCUGGAGGAAUACCGGUGGCGAAGGCGGCCCCCUGGACAAAGACUGACGCUCAGGUGCGAAAGCGUGGGGAGCAAACAGG